rnacentral:lncRNA from 1 species
GAAGCCAGAAUGUAUAACCUUUUGGAAAAGGAUGAAGAAUCAAGUGCUCAUGUGUUGCUUCUCGAGUUUGCCAUUUUUUAAGAUUGCAUUUCGGACAUGGGAAAAUUAUCUUACCCUCAACGCUCUUAUUAGCAAAUGCAAAGUCCAAAAAUUUAUUCAAUCCGUCCAUGUACUGACAUGUAUUUCGAGGCAUGUUAAUCCAAGACUUAUCC